rnacentral:rRNA from 1 species
UUGAACGCUGGCGGCAGGCCUAACACAUGCAAGUCGAGCGGAUGAAGGGAGCUUGCUCCUGGAUUCAGCGGCGGACGGGUGAGUAAUGCCUAGGAAUCUGCCUGGUAGUGGGGGAUAACGUCCGGAAACGAGCGCUAAUACCGCAUACGUCCUGAGGGAGAAAGUGGGGGAUCUUCGGACCUCACGCUAUCAGAUGAGCCUAGGUCGGAUUAGCUAGUUGGUGGGGUAAAGGCCUACCAAGGCGACGAUCCGUAACUGGUCUGAGAGGAUGAUCAGUCACACUGGAACUGAGACACGGUCCAGACUCCUACGGGAGGCAGCAGUGGGGAAUAUUGGACAAUGGGCGAAAGCCUGAUCCAGCCAUGCCGCGUGUGUGAAGAAGGUCUUCGGAUUGUAAAGCACUUUAAGUUGGGAGGAAGGGCAGUAAGUUAAUACCUUGCUGUUUUGACGUUACCAACAGAAUAAGCACCGGCUAACUUCGUG